rnacentral:tRNA from 1 species
UGGCGAGGUGGAGCAGUGGCAGCUCGCCGGGCUCAUAACCCGGAGGUCGCAGGUUCGAGUCCUGCCUUCGCAACCA